GGCACUGUUAUACUGGUUCCUGUAUGAUCACUGAAGUUAAGCAACCUUGAGCUUGGUUAGUAUCUAGAUGGGUGACCACUUGGAAAUAUCAGGUGCUGUAAG